GCGAAAACUUUACAAUGCUGGCAAUAGCGAUAAGGGAACCUCGAGUGCCAGGUUACAAAUCUGGCUGUCGAGAUGCCUAAAAAGCAUUUCAUAGCAAGGGCCGGGCAAGACCGGUGCCAGCCGCCGCGGUAAAACCGGCGGCUCGAGUGGUAACCGUUAUUAUUUGGUCUAAAGGGUCUGUAGCCGGCCGGAUAAGUCUCUUGAGAAAUCUGGCAGCUUAACUGUCAGGCUUUCAGGAGAUACUGUCUGGCUCGAGGCCGGGAGAGGUGAGAGGUACUUCAGGGGUAGGGGUGAAAUCUUGUAAUCCUUGAAGGACCACCAGUGGCGAAGGCGUCUCACCAGAACGGACCUGACGGUAAGGGACGAAAGCUAGGGGCACGAACC
rnacentral:rRNA from 1 species